ACUAUUUUGGCAGACAAAUGUUGUAAAUUUAGGAUUUAUAUAUGUAAUUUAUAUUACAAAUAGUA
rnacentral:tRNA from 1 species